rnacentral:tRNA from 1 species
UGGAAAGGUGGCAGAGUGGUUAAUUGCACCAAUUUUGAAAAUUGGCGUGGCUUUGCGGUCACCGUGGGUUCGAAUCCCUCCCUUUCCGU